AAUGCCUCUCCUGAAAAGACAACAAACAGGAACAGAGGAAGGCCUUGUCCAACCACCUACUACAUGUGGCUUAGUUCUGAGCACAGCCUUGCCUUAAAAGAAUUCCAUCAAGGAGGAAGCAUUUGAAGGAGGACCACAGGGCUGCAGCCUCUGCAGAUAGAGUUGGACAAGAUUCAAAUGAGGUUGGGAUUCAGGAAUCCUAUUUCUCCUGGCUACAGCUCAGCUUUACCAGAACAGCCAAGGCAAGGAGAUUCGGGCUUUGGUGCCAACAAGGAAGACCCACUGCAAGUUUCAGCUGGGAAUCUCUGAGCUAAUGAUAAC